rnacentral:tRNA from 1 species
GCGGGUGUGGCGGAAUUGGCAGACGCGCUAGGUUUAGGUCCUAGUGGUUAAUCCCGUGGGGGUUCAAAUCCCUCCACCCGCACCA